rnacentral:lncRNA from 1 species
UGUUUAUUUCUCCCCUCUACAUGACCCCUCAAUUACAUGUCUUUCUGGUGGUAUGUGACCAUACAUUAGCUUGUUAUACCUUUCUGCAUGCUUCUACUGUUAUGCUUCUCUUAUCUUCCCUUGAUGUUUAUAUUAAUGCUUUCAUGUUAUCCCAUUCCCCUUAAUCCCCUUGCAUGUGAGUAUGUUCUAAGUUAAGGUACCAUCCCAUUG